rnacentral:rRNA from 1 species
CAAGAGUGAUGAAGGCUUUCGGGUCGUAAAGCACUGUUGUAUGGGAAGAACAGCUAGAAUAGGAAAUGAUUUUAGUUUGACGGUACCAUACCAGAAAGGGACGGCUAAAUACGUGCCAGCAGCCGCGGUAAUACGUAUGUCCCGAGCGUUAUCCGGAUUUAUUGGGCGUAAAGCGAGCGCAGACGGUUUAUUAAGUCUGAUGUGAAAGCCCGGAGCUCAACUCCGGAAUGGCAUUGGAAACUGGUUAACUUGAGUGCAGUAGAGGUAAGUGGAACUCCAUGUGUAGCGGUGGAAUGCGUAGAUAUAUGGAAGAACACCAGUGGCGAAGGCGGCUUACUGGACUGCAACUGACGUUGAGGCUCGAAAGUGUGGGUAGCAAACAGGAUUAGAUACCCUGGUAGUCCACACCGUAAACGAUGAACACUAGGUGUUAGGAGGUUUCCGCCUCUUAGUGCCGAAGCUAACGCAUUAAGUGUUCCGCCUGGGGAGUACGACCGCAAGGUUGAAACUCAAAGGAAUUGACGGGGGCCCGCA